GACGAACGCUGGCGGCGUGCCUAAUACAUGCAAGUCGAGCGGACCUCUUCGGAGGUCAGCGGCGGACGGGUGAGUAACACGUGGGCAACCUGCCUGUAAGACUGGGAUAACUCCGGGAAACCGGAGCUAAUACCGGAUAUUAUGUCAGACCGCAUGGUUUGACAUUCAAAGACGGUUUCGGCUGUCACUUACAGAUGGGCCCGCGGCGCAUUAGCUAGUUGGUGAGGUAAUGGCUCACCAAGGCAACGAUGCGUAGCCGACCUGAGAGGGUGAUCGGCCACACUGGGACUGAGACACGGCCCAGACUCCUACGGGAGGCAGCAGUAGGGAAUCUUCCGCAAUGGACGAAAGUCUGACGGAGCAACGCCGCGUGAGUGAUGAAGGUUUUCGGAUCGUAAAACUCUGUUGUCAGGGAAGAACAAGUGCCGGAGUAACUGCCGGCACCUUGACGGUACCUGACCAGAAAGCCACGGCUAACUACGUGCCAGCCGCCGCCGUAA
rnacentral:rRNA from 1 species